GUAUCACCCAAGACAACUUUACGGAGUUGACGAUUGACGGAGCGAAGCGACGUCAAAGCGUAUACAAAGUCGAGUUGGCUUAGGGAUACGUUCGUUGGGUAGGGGAGCGUUCUGUAAGCCUGUGAAGGUGGCCUGUGAGGGUUGCUGGAGGUAUCAGAAGUGCGAAUGCUGACAUAAGUAACGAUAAAGCGGGUGAAAAGCCCGCUCGCCGGAAGACCAAGGGUUCCUGUCCAACGUUAAUCGGGGCAGGGUGAGUCGACCCCUAAGGCGAGGCCGAAAGGCGUAGUCGAUGGGAAACGGGUUAAUAUUCCCGUACUUGGUGUUACUGCGAAGGGGGGACGGAGAAGGCUAUGUUGGCCGGGCGACGGUUGUCCCGGUUUAAGCGUGUAGGUGUGUGUUCCAGGUAAAUCCGGUUCACUUUAACACUGAGGCGUGAUGACGAGGCACUACGGUGCUGAAGCAACAAAUGCCCUGCUUCCAGGAAAAGCCUCUAAGCAUCAGGUAACAUCAAAUCGUACCCCAAACCGACACAGGUGGUCAGGUAGAGAAUACCAAGGCGCUUGAGAGAACUCGGGUGAAGGAACUAGGCAAAAUGGUGCCGUAA
rnacentral:rRNA from 1 species